rnacentral:rRNA from 1 species
UACGUAGGGUGCGAGCGUUGUCCGGAAUUAUUGGGCGUAAAGAGCUCGUAGGCGGUGUGUCACGUCGGCCGUGAAAACCUGCAGCUUAACUGUGGGCGUGCGGUCGAUACGGGCAUCACUGGAGUUCGGCAGGGGAGACUGGAAUUCCUGGUGUAGCGGUGAAAUGCGCAGAUAUCAGGAGGAACACCGGUGGCGAAGGCGGGUCUCUGGGCCGAUACUGACGCUGAUGCACGAAAGCUAGGGGAGCAAACAGG